rnacentral:rRNA from 1 species
UACGAAGGGGGCUAGCGUUGCUCGGAAUUACUGGGCGUAAGCGCACGUAGGCGGCUUCUAAGUCGGGGGUGAAAUCCUGGAGCUCAACUCCAGAACUGCCUUCGAUACUGGAGAGCUUGAGUCCGGGAGAGGUGAGUGGAACUGCGAGUGUAGAGGUGAAAUUCGUAGAUAUUCGCAAGAACACCAGUGGCGAAGGCGGCUCACUGGCCCGGUACUGACGCUGAGGUGCGAAAGCGUGGGGAGCAAACAGG